rnacentral:rRNA from 1 species
UACGGAGGGAGCUAGCGUUGUUCGGAAUUACUGGGCGUAAAGCGCGCGUAGGCGGCUUUGUAAGUUAGAGGUGAAAGCCCGGGGCUCAACCCCGGAACUGCCUUUAAGACUGCAUCGCUUGAAUCCGGGAGAGGUGAGUGGAAUUCCGAGUGUAGAGGUGAAAUUCGUAGAUAUUCGCAAGAACACCAGUGGCGAAGGCGGCUCACUGGCCCGGUACUGACGCUGAGGCACGAAAGCGUGGGGAGCAAACAGG